CCUACGGGUGGCAGCAGUGGGGAAUAUUGCACAAUGGGCGCAACCCUGAUGCAGCGACGCCGCGUGAGCGAGGAAGUAUUUCGGUAUGGAAAGCUCUAUCAGCAGGGACGAAAAAAGACGGUACCUGACUAAGAAGCCCCGGCUAACUUCGUGCCAGCCGCCGCGGUCAUACGUAGGGGGCAAGCGUUAUCCGGAUUUACUGGGUGUAAAGGGAGCGUAGACGGCAAGGCAAGUCAGAAGUGAAAGGGCAGGGCUCAACCCUGGACAUGCUUUUGAAACUGGGGGGCUUGAGUGCAGGAGAGGUAAGCGGAAUUCGUGGUGUAGCGGUGAAAUGCGUAGAUAUUAGGAGGAACACCAGUGGCGAAGGCGGCUUACUGGACUGUAACUGACGUUGAGGCUCGAAAGCGUGGGGAACAAACAGGAUUAGAUACCCUGGUAGUC
rnacentral:rRNA from 1 species